AUUGAACGCUGGCGGCAUGCUUUACACAUGCAAGUCGAGCGGUAACAGGCCUUCGGGUGCUGACGAGUGGCGAACGGGUGAGUAAUGCAUCGGAACGUACCCAGAGGUGGGGGAUAACGCAGCGAAAGCUGUGCUAAUACCGCAUGUGAUCUGAGGAUGAAAGCGGGGGACCGAGCAGCAAUGUUUGGCCUCGCGCCUUUGGAGCGGCCGAUGUCGGAUUAGCUAGUUGGUGGGGUAAAGGCCUACCAAGGCGACGAUCCGUAGCUGGUCUGAGAGGACGGCCAGCCACACUGGGACUGAGACACGGCCCAGACUCCUACGGGAGGCAGCAGUGGGGAAUUUUGGACAAUGGGCGCAAGCCUGAUCCAGCAAUGCCGCGUGCGGGAAGAAGGCCUUCGGGUUGUAAACCGCUUUUGGCAGGAACGAAACGGUGUCCGCUAAUACCGGGCGCUAAUGACGGUACCUGCAGAAUAAGCACCGGCUAACUACGUG
rnacentral:rRNA from 1 species